rnacentral:lncRNA from 1 species
GGUCGCCAGGCGCCAAGACAGGAGGGAGCCGAUGGUGGGGAGGGGAGAGGAAUGAUUCCGAAGAUUCCAGGGAAUCGCUUGAUCAGACCUGUGUCUGUUGUGGAUCCCCAGCAGGAGCUGGCCUGGAGAUGCCGGAGCCAGCCUUGCUCUCCGAGGCUUCCUCUGCGUAAGGGGUGGCCUCCUGACUCUGACUUCCCCAUCUGCAGAGGAACAUGUGAAGAUCUGAAGGCUGGACCUUGCCAGAGAACAAUGCCAACAUUGAAGGCCUCGGUUGGAGUCUGCACAGUUGGAGAUCUUUGGUGCCACUUUAGACAUCUUUGGAUUUCAUCAAUCAAAUUGACUGCAAUUUUCCAUAAAAACCCUGAAUUUGGGUCAGAAAGUGGGCAAAGUAGAUAAAGAUCAUUCGAGCUGUCUUAUAAGAUGAUAAAUAGAUAUCCUUUCAGGCCAACAAUGCCAAA